AUGCUUGUGCAUGAUUUCCACCUUAACGAGCAGAUCGAAGAUGAUAUUGUUUGGAAGCACUCCAAUGAUGGGAUCUACACAGCGUCAACAGCGUACAAAGCUCAAUUUCUUGGCUUGGUUCUAUCCCCCAUGGAUCUCAUGGUUUGGAAAGUAUGGGCACCUCCAAAAGUGAAGUUUUUUUUGCUUGGUUGGCAUUACAAAAUAGGAUUUGGACCGCCGACCGGUUGGAAAAGCGUGGUUGGGCAAACUGUGGCCUUUGCCAGCUAUGUAAAAGAGAACAAGAAACAGGUGCACAUCUCUUCUUCAAGUGUCGGUACACGCUUAGGCUCUGGAGAUAAAUCAUUCAGAAGCUUGGUCUUGCUCACAUGGACACCUCCAAUUGGCACCUUGCGGACUCCGUCAAUGAAUGGUGGGAUAAGAGAAUUGACAAUCAAAACCCCAAUAGACAAGCCAUGGCCUCCCUCACUAUGCUUGUGUCUUGGACUAUUUGGAACGAACGAAAUGCUCGGGUGUUCCGACACAAGUGUGCGCCGCCGCCCAUUCUCCUUAACAUCAUCCUAG
rnacentral:rRNA from 1 species